AAUCACGUGACACGGGUGUCGCCAUUUCAGACAGUAGUACAGUAAAAUGAUGUAACGAGUUGAUCAAAAUGGUGAUUUCAUGUUAACUUUUCUUUCACUUAAACUUUCUCAAAGGGAGUUAGAUAGGAAACUUCGAAAAUGAGAUUGUUAAACAUCGUAAUAUUGGUGAUGUCGGCAUACGCCAUGCACGUGACGUGCCAAUCAUAUCCAGGGUUUGAACCUGUCGUUGUUGAAGUUCCUGGUAUAUUUGGAAAGUAUGGAGGAUACUUACUGGGAUUGGUUAUAUUACUUGUGUCAUAUUUAAACAAUCGUGAUGAUAAUGCAGUAAGAAUCAACGUGGGUGGUGAUACCAUGACGAUGAGUAGUAAUGGAGGAAACGGGGGUCCUGUACCUACUCCUUGAUACAACAUCUGUAUUUCUCGCAUGGACAUAUUUGAGUGUUGCAUUAAACAUUAAUGUAUUGUGUUUUCAUGUCAAAUUAAACUUUCAUCAUUACUG